UUGAAGUUAUAAUAUAAUAAUGUAAGCUAAUAAAUUAAACAAUAUAUAAAUACGUAUCUCUCGUAUAGUGAUGUAUAUAGUAGUUAAAAGCUAGCUAACUGAAUCUAUAUAUCCAAAUAUUUUGAAUAAUACGUUAACAUCAUAUGAUCGAGGUAAUAAUACACCAUUGAAGUUAUAAUAAUGUAGUCAAUUAACCGAUAAUUCAUCAUAUUAAUAUGUUGUAUUAACGUAAUUGAAAUCUCCAAUUCAAUCUUUUUUAAUCCAAUUUCUAAUCUCAAUUUGACUCAUCUCCUUAAUUUUAAUCUCAACCGUUCAUCAUAUUUGAUCAACGGUCAAUAUUAAUAUCAAUUUUCACUAUUUUUUCUUGAAAUUAGGGGUGUGCAUCGGUUGGUUCGAUUUGAUUUUAUAUAUUAUCGAUUUGGUGUAUCGGUUAUCGAUUUUUAAAUAAGUUAAACCAAUAAUCAAAUCAAUAAGGUAUUUUUUAUCGGUUUUUAGUUUAUCAAUUUUUAGUCCUUAACGGUUCGAUUUUUGGUUUAACCAAUAAAAAAAUAUACAUAAAAUAUAAAUAGUAGCAACUAAUUAACAACAAAAAAAAUCUUAAUUGCAACAAAAAUCCUACAUGAUGUGUUUUAUUUUACAAGAAUUUUCAAACUUGAAUAGGUUUUCGAGAAAUUCUACGUACACUGUACCCUUCUCAGACCUAAUUUGUGGGACUAAAUCAGUUUAAUUGUGUUGACACCCAAUUUUGACCUCACGAUACUCCUCCCAGACUGAUAUUUUAUAUAGUAAUUUUACGUAACAUUAAUUCUUACAUGCUUAGUUUAUAUUAAUAUCGAAGUCUUACUAUUUUUCUCGGCAUUUCCACAUUUAUUAAAUUUUCAUUUUUCACAAUUUAUUAAUUCAAAUUCGAUAUUUUACAUAAUUUUUAUUAAUAUUUAUUUAUUUUUACGUAAAUGUGCACACUCACAAUUUACAAAUGCAUUGUCUUCAUUAUUACUACUAUCGAUAAUUUUAUAUAACAUUAAUUUUUACAUGCUUAUUUUAUUUUGAUAUUGUUGUCUUAUUAUUUUUUUCAUCAUUAUCACAUUUAUUAAAAUAGCGGGCCUAAUUCAAUUCAAUUUCUCAAUGUGUUUAUUUUUUAGCCAUCUUGUACACAAUUAAUGUCAAUUUUAACCAAAUUGAUAUCAAUUCCAUUUUUGACCUAUUUUAAAGUAAUUUUAAUCUCAGCCGUUGAUCAAAAUUGAUUCAACGACUGAUGUUCACACCUAAUUUUGACCUCCCGAGACUAUUUUUAGGCUGUUAUUUUCUCAAAAUUAUUUGAUUUAAAUUAUUAAUAUUUUUGUACACAUUAUUCUUAUAUUAAAUACAUAUUUUUGGCGUAUCACAUUCAGAAUUUAUAAUUAUUUUAUUAAUUUUUGGUAUUAUUUUUAUGAUUUAUUAGUUCCAAUACAACAUUUUAUGUAAUUUUAUUAAUAUUUAUUAAGUUAUUUUUCGUAAAUAUACACACUCACAAUUUAUAAAUGCAUUAUCUUUAUUAUUAUCAAUAUCGAUAAUUUAUAUAAUUUCACAUACGCCUUAUUAUUUUGUUUGUCAUUAUUACAUAGUAGCCUAAUUCAAUUCAAGUUCACUAUUCAUUUAAAUUCUAGCCACCUUCUAUUUAAUUUUAUUCAGUUUAUUAUAAUUCUAGUCAAUCACCUACCUGCUGGUGUCCUCACCCGUCAACGAACCCGCCCAGAUCCGGCAAAAAUGAGCGCCGCACCACUGCCUCCCUCCUUCUCUUCUCUCGACGCCGCCCUACAGCCAAGUGCCGCCACGUUACCAGCAACCACCUUCAGCCGGUGCUCAACCGGCGAGGAUUUGCCGAAAACCGCCACCAAAAGGCAGAACCCAUCAGCGCACCUCUCUCUCUUUUCCUUCCGUCGAGAACCGCCACCAGCAGCAACUAGAUCACCAGCUCCGGCUGGUCAUUGCCGCUUCCCUCUCCGUUCUUGUUCUCCGAGCAGCAACCAUCACUGCCGCCAGUGAAAUAGCAACAACAAAUCAACCGUUCCGCCAUUUUUGGCCGAAAGGGACCCCAAGAACAGCGAAAUCUGGACACCGGUGAUGAACUUAUCUGCGAUUUGUCCGGUUUGAUUUCUCAAUACUUUCAAGAAAGAUAAGAAAAUGUUAUUUUCACUUCUUACUUUCAAGAAAAUCCACCAUCACAUCACCCUUACCAAUGCUUCAUGUGACACUAAUAGGAAAACAAACCUAAAAUGAUAAAUCGAUUUGUGCUCUUCUGCUGCAGCAGAUUCAUUCUGAUCCUUUAGCUCCGCUCUCUCUUUCUCUGGCUCCCUUACUUGCAAGUUUGUUUGCCUUUUAUUAUCUUCUAAGUAGAUGCUUUAAAAGUCUGUCUUAGAAAAGAAGUACAUGUAUAGUUGGUCUAAUUAUUAUUAUUAUUUGUUUGUGUGUUUUUUUAGGGUACGUCAUUCCUAAAGGCUGGAGAAUAUACAUAUACACGAGGGAGUUGAAUUACGAUCCAAGGAGUUAUCCUGAUCCAUAUACAUUCAAUCCAUGGAGAUGGAUGGAUAAGAGCCUGGAACACCAAAAUUCGUUCUUAGUAUUUGGAGGUGGUACUAGACAAUGUCCUGGAAAAGAGCUUGGUGUAGUUGAAAUUUCUACAUUUCUUCAUUACUUCGUAACAAAGUACAGAUGACAUCCGAUGGUGACGGUGAUUGGCCUUGUCCUGACAAGAGUUCGAAGUCAACUACUAAAAAGAAAUCUCGGACACCUGUAGACUCCAAUGAAAAAACUUUAGGAUUGUUUAAGUGUUUUGGUGGUUGUUGGAUUAAUUAUUAGGUGUUUUAUAUUUUGGAUUUGAUCGUUUAAGUGUUGUUGAUUUGAAUUUGCUUAAAUGUUUUGAUAAUGUUGUGCGUUGUAUGAUUAUUUUAGAAAUGUGUGUUGCA